UACGUAGGGUGCGAGCGUUGUCCGGAAUUAUUGGGCGUAAAGAGCUUGUAGGCGGUCGGUCGCGUCUGCUGUGAAAAUCCGGGGCUCAACCCCGGACUUGCAGUGGGUACGGGCAGACUAGAGUGUGGUAGGGGAGACUGGAAUUCCUGGUGUAGCGGUGAAAUGCGCAGAUAUCAGGAGGAACACCGAUGGCGAAGGCAGGUCUCUGGGCCACUACUGACGCUGAGGUGCGAAAGCGUGGGGAGCAAACAGG
rnacentral:rRNA from 1 species